rnacentral:rRNA from 1 species
GACGAACGCUGGCGGCGUGCCUAAUACAUGCAAGUUGAGCGCUGAAGGUUGGUACUUGUACCAACUGGAUGAGCAGCGAACGGGUGAGUAACGCGUGGGGAAUCUGCCUUUGAGCGGGGGACAACAUUUGGAAACGAAUGCUAAUACCGCAUAAAAACUUUAAACACAAGUUUUAAGUUUGAAAGAUGCAAUUGCAUCACUCAAAGAUGAUCCCGCGUUGUAUUAGCUAGUUGGUGAGGUAAAGGCUCACCAAGGCGAUGAUACAUAGCCGACCUGAGAGGGUGGUCGGCCACAUUGGGACUGGGACACGGCCCAAACUCCUACGGGAGGCAGCAGGAGGGAAUCUUCGGCAAUGGACGAAAGUCUGACCGGGCAACGCCGCGGGAGUGAAGAAGGUUUUCGGAUCGUAAAAAUCUGUUGGUAGAGAAGAACGUUGGUGAGAGUGGAAAGCUCAUCAAGUGACGGUAACUACACAGAAAGGGACGGCUAACUACGUG